AGCAGCAGCAGGGUAUUACGAUCAACUUGCCACGCAAUAGUUUCGAAGCUCACGCCCAGGGGGAAUAGAACUCUCCAAAUAUCAUCAUUUUUCGUCACUUUUCCUUCACAUAUCCCAGUGUAUAAAGGGACAAUGUUUCUAAAAACAGUUGUGCCAAUUUUCUUGGCGUUUGUCGCGUUUGAAGUGCCAUUUUGUUGUGGUUUCUAUCUACCGGGUCUUGCUCCAGUCAGCUAUUGCCAGCCCGCAGGCGACGAAGCCAAAACGCCGGAAACAUGCAAGUCGAAGAUAGAUGUGUUUGUGAACAGACUAGACUCGGUAGAGUCCGUUAUUCCAUACGAGUAUGACAAAUUUGAUUUUUGCGGAUUUGAUAAGACGCAGAGCCCGACUGAGAACCUUGGUCAGGUAGUGUUCGGUGAAAGAAUUAGACCAUCUCCAUAUAUUAUAUCUUUCUUGGAAGAAAGCAAAUGUAUAGAGGUGUGUGAAUAAGAAGUACGAGUCUGGAAAUAAAGAAAGUAUGAAAAACCUGAAGUUUCUGACAGAUGGCAUCAAACAGAACUACCAACACCAUUGGAUUAUUGAUAACAUGCCUGUUACUUGGUGUUACGAUGUUGAAGCCCAGCAAUCCCAGAAUACCAAGUACUGCUCUCCAGGUUUUCCGAUUGGCUGUUAUGUUGAUGGGACUGGUAAACCAAAAGAUGCAUGUGUUAUCAAUCCUGCUUUUAGUGAAAGAGAUAGUCAUUAUGUAUUCAAUCAUGUAGACAUCACAAUUGCCUAUAAUAAUGCAGAUGAAACAACAUCUAGACUGUUAUCAGCUAAAAUUGAACCUAGAAGUAUGAAGCAUGAGAAGCCAGGUGACUGCAAUGAUAAUUUGAAACCCAUGGCUAUUCCAGGCAAAAUGGGAAAAGACGAGAAAAUCAGUAUUACCUACUCGUAUUCUAUCACUUUUAAACUAAACACUGAAAUUAAGUGGGCAUCACGAUGGGAUUAUAUUUUGGAUUCUAUGCCACAUACCAACAUUCAGUGGUUCAGUAUCAUGAACUCAUUGGUUAUUGUUUUGUUCCUGUCUGGUAUGGUUGCUAUGAUCAUGCUGAGAACCCUGCAUAAAGAUAUUGCUCGAUACAAUCAAAUGGACUCUGCUGAGGAUGCCCAGGAAGAGUUUGGUUGGAAAUUGGUACAUGGUGAUGUAUUCCGUUCACCAAGACGUGGAAUGUUGUUGUCUGUUUUACUUGGCACUGGUUCUCAGAUCUUUUUCAUGACUUUCAUAACACUUGUGUUUGCUUGUCUGGGAUUCUUGUCGCCUGCCAACAGAGGUGCUUUGAUGACUUGUGUAUUGGUACUGUUUGUAUGCCUUGGGACCCCUGCUGGUUAUAUUGCUGCUAGAAUAUACAAAACUUUCGGUGGUGAACGUUGGAAGACUAAUGUUUUGAUGACUUGUUUCUUCAUUCCUGGUAUUGUGUUUGUGGACUUUUUCAUAUUGAACUUAGUGUUGUGGGGUGAAGGAAGUUCUGCUGCAAUUCCAUUUAGUACUCUUGUAGCUCUGUUGGCAUUGUGGUUUGGAGUGUCCACACCCCUCACCUUCCUUGGAGCUUACUUAGGAUUCAAAAAGAGGCCUAUUGAGUUCCCUGUUAGAACCAACCAAAUUCCCAGACAAAUCCCUGAUCAAUCGUUCUAUACUAAACCAUUACCAGGUAUUGUGAUGGGUGGUGUCUUACCAUUUGGAUGCAUCUUUAUUCAGUUGUUCUUCAUUCUCAACAGCAUAUGGUCCCAUCAGAUGUAUUACAUGUUUGGUUUCCUCUUCCUUGUGAUGGUUAUUUUGAUCAUAACUUGCUCUGAGGCAACUGUAUUGCUUUGUUACUUUCAUUUAUGUGCAGAGGAUUACCAUUGGUGGUGGAGAUCUUUUCUGACCAGUGGAUUUACAGCUUUCUAUCUAUUUAUAUAUUGCAUUCAUUAUUUUGUAUCUAAAUUGACAAUAGAGGGUAUGGCGAGUACUUUCUUGUACUUUGGUUACACUCUCAUCAUGGUCACACUUUUCUUCUUAUUCUGUGGUACUGUUGGUUUCUUUGCAUGUUUCUGGUUUGUUGUAAAAAUCUACAGUGUGGUCAAAGUGGACUAAAUCAAGUAGACUGGCUAACAUAAAGAAGGCAUUGGUACUUUGAAUAGUUGGGACUCAAAAUAAAAAGCUGCUGGGGAACAGUCUAAGUUUCAAAAUGCAUCAUCUGAUGCCCUGCUGCACUGUUGGCUCAGUGGUGUGAACAUCGAGGAACUCCUUCUAUGAAUAAAAGUAUAUGGACUUGUUCAUAUCAUCUGUGUUUGCCCAGUUGCAGUAUUUUAUUGAGUCGUCAGGUGGUUUAUUUUGCACAUUGGAAGGGCUGUUAUUCAUUGAUGGUUUUCUCUCAUUCUUGCUCACUUUGAAUGUUGACACAAGUAUUAUAUAAAUCUAUCCUAUACACUCGUUUCUCAUGUGCAUAGUUAAUAUUACAAUUCUUUUAAUAGCACUGAGGCUGAUAUUGUUAUUUUAUCUCACUAGUUUACAAAUUCAAUGCAUGUAGUUUUAAUAAAACUAUUAUAUGAAUAUACGGGAGAAAAUUAAUGCAUAAUGUUUAUAACAAUAAAGCUGUAAAUAUCUCUAAAAUUCCUAAUCUUUGAACAAUUACACAUUGACUUAAUGUUUGUACUUGUUCUUCUACUGAUGCUGUAUGGGCUUGUCAAUAUUCAAAGUGGUUUAACAAUGAUUUAUACGUUAUGGUAUAUUUGCAAUAAUACAUUGUAGUCAGUUUACUUAUAUGGGGCUCGUGUUAUGUUAAUUUGCGGAAUAGUAGUUGGGCUUGACAUGAGGGGGAAAAUGCACCAAUUUUGUGAAUAGAAAAUAGUGGUUUCACUUUAACAGUGACAUUUACUCUAUACAUUGACAGCAUUUAUUUAGCCUUGCAUCUGUCAAUGAUGUGUACCAAGUACAUGUAGUAGGUUGUCACAUGGUUCACUUCACCAUUACAUUUCUUACACACUUUAAAGUACAACAGAAAUCAGUAAUUGCAUUACAUCACAUCUUUCUUGUGCUAUUUAUGCAAGCUACAUUUAUUUUUAAAGAACUUAAUAUAUGUAUAAUUUGCAGUGAAUGCCCCAAACAAUUGUUACAUUUAGUAAAAAUACUGAUUGUAGUGUCCAUCUAGUUGUUUCAUUGUUUGGACUAUUCAUCGCUCUUGGGUAAUCACCAUGUAUUUUUAAAUGUUACAUGCGAAAGUGAGCGUUUUAUUCAAUUUACAAUGAGUUGGACCCAAACAGUUAUGCUGCAAUGUUUGAACAAAUGCCUUGUAUACAAAUAAUACUGAAUGCAAUUAAAAGCCUGGUUUAGACAGGUUUAAAAUUUUGUGAAAUGACAUUCAGUUCCUCCUGCAGAUGCAUUCGUUUUGUAUAUUAUGACAAGGUAUUAAAAAGAUAUUUGACUUUUUUGAACUGUUAUCGGGCAAAUAAACAUUUCUCUAUUUUUGUCUUUACUGGUGCCUUUCAUUGAUAUGUUAAAAUUGGUUUGUUCCUUUCAAUUUAGUUUUUCCUAUUCAUACAAGGGGGUUGAUAUGUUUUUAUGUCUAAAUGUUAUUUUUUAGAUUGUGAUUUCUAGAAACAUUGUUGAAUACAAAACUAGGGAUCAGCAAUUGUGAUUUUCUGAUUUAAUAAUCAACUAUUUGAAAAAGUGUACAUCAUGAAAAGUUGUAAUUGUACAGGUGUAUAUAUGCUUUGUUAUAUCUGUCCUCCCACUGGGCACCAACUGCACCUUGAGUGUGAUGAUAUGAAUCCCUCUGCUUACAGACAUCAGAGAUCAGCAAAACUACACAUUGAGUGAAUUAGAAUCAUCCAAAUGUAGAAAUGCAAAAUAGCUAAACUCCGCCACGCACACUGGUCUAAAAGGUCAUGUCUGAUAUUAUUUUAAAUUUCAUUGUGUUGCAUUUUUUCGGACACAUUUAUUUCUGCUUUGAUUACAAGGUUUAUCAAUUGUCUUUGGAGAAUCAUAAUUUAAUGUACAUGUAUUUUAUUUCCUCUGGUGUAUAUGGUUGAUAAUUAAAUACAGUUAAACAAAAA